AGUGAACGCUGGCGGUAGGCCUAACACAUGCAAGUCGAACGGCCGCACAGUAAGAGCUCGCUCUUACGGGUGGCGAGUGGCGGAUGGGUGAGGAAUACAUCGGAAUCUACUUUUUCGUGGGGGAUAACGUAGGGAAACUUACGCUAAUACCGCAUACGACCUACGGGUGAAAGCAGGGGAUCUUCGGACCUUGCGCGAUUGAAUGAGCCGAUGUCGGAUUAGCUAGUUGGCGGGGUAAAGGCCCACCAAGGCGACGAUCCGUAGCUGGUCUGAGAGGAUGAUCGGCCACACUGGAACUGAGACACGGUCCAGACUCCUACGGGAGGCAGCAGUGGGGAAUAUUGGACAAUGGGCGCAAGCCUGAUCCAGCCAUACCGCGUGAGUGAAGAAGGCCUUCGGGUUGUAAAGCCCUUUUGUUAGGAAAGAAAAGCAGCAGGUUAAUACCCCGCUGUUCUGACGGUACCCAAAGAAUAAGCACCGGCUAACUUCGUG
rnacentral:rRNA from 1 species